AUUCAGCUGACGAGUCCCAAAUAGAACAAAACGUGCAUCCUGGAU
rfam:Schistosoma rodhaini strain Burundi genome assembly, scaffold: SROB_scaffold0002472